UUGACCUCAAAUCAGACAGGAUUACCCGCUGAACUUAAGCAUAUCAAUAAGCGGAGGAAAAGAAACUAACUAGGAUUCCCCCAGUAACGGCGAGUGAAGAGGGACUAGCCCAACUUUGUAAUCGGUUGCCUUUGGUAUCCGAGUUGUAGUCUAGAGACGUAGGACCCGGUCAUUGUCGGCCGUCGAGAUGGCUCGGAUGCCGUGUCAGAGAGGGUGCCAACCCCGUACGACGGUCUUGCACUUUGGCCACCGCGGUCCGCGCUCCAAGAGUCGAGUUGUUUGGGAAUGCAGCUCCAAUCGGGUGGUAAAUUCCAUCUAAGGCUAAAUAACGGCGAGAGACCGAUAGCGAACAAGUACCGUGAGGGAAAGAUGAAAAGCACUUUGGAAAGAGAAUGAAACAGUAUGUGAAAUUGCUGGAAGGGAAACGCUUGAAGUCAGCUUUGCGCGGAACGGUUCAACCCGGUCUUUUUGAUCGGGCGUACUUCGUUCCAUUGCGGGCCAGCAUCGGUUUGAGGACCGUCAACAGGGUGAGAGGAAGGUAGCCUG
rnacentral:rRNA from 1 species